GCAAGUCGAGCGGACAGAUGGGAGCUUGCUCCCUGAUGUUAGCGGCGGACGGGUGAGUAACACGUGGGUAACCUGCCUGUAAGACUGGGAUAACUCCGGGAAACCGGGGCUAAUACCGGAUGCUUGAUUGAACCGCAUGGUUCAAUUAUAAAAGGUGGCUUUUAGCUACCACUUACAGAUGGACCCGCGGCGCAUUAGCUAGUUGGUGAGGUAACGGCUCACCAAGGCAACGAUGCGUAGCCGACCUGAGAGGGUGAUCGGCCACACUGGGACUGAGACACGGCCCAGACUCCUACGGGAGGCAGCAGUAGGGAAUCUUCCGCAAUGGACGAAAGUCUGACGGAGCAACGCCGCGUGAGUGAUGAAGGUUUUCGGAUCGUAAAACUCUGUUGUUAGGGAAGAACAAGUACCGUUCGAAUAGGGCGGUACCUUGACGGUACCUAACCAGAAAGCCACGGCUAACUACGUGCCAGCAGCCGCGGUAAUACGUAGGUGGCAAGCGUUGUCCGGAAUUAUUGGGCGUAAAGCGCGCGCAGGCGGUUUCUUAAGUCUGAUGUGAAAGCCCCCGGCUCAACCGGGGAGGGUCAUUGGAAACUGGGGAACUUGAGUGCAGAAGAGGAGAGUGGAAUUCCACGUGUAGCGGUGAAAUGCGUAGAGAUGUGGAGGAACACCAGUGGCGAAGGCGACUCUCUGGUCUGUAACUGACGCUGAGGCGCGAAAGCGUGGGGAGCGAACAGGAUUAGAUACCCUGGUAGUCCACGCCGUAAACGAUGAGUGCUAAGUGUUAGAGGGUUUCCGCCCUUUAGUGCUGCAGCAAACGCAUUAAGCACUCCGCCUGGGGAGUACGGUCGCAAGACUGAAACUCAAAGGAAUUGACGGGGGCCCGCACAAGCGGUGGAGCAUGUGGUUUAAUUCGAAGCAACGCGAAGAACCUUACCAGGUCUUGACAUCCUCUGACAACCCUAGAGAUAGGGCUUCCCCUUCGGGGGCAGAGUGACAGGUGGUGCAUGGUUGUCGUUCAGCUCGUGUCGUGAGAUGUUGGGUUAAGUCCCGGCAACGAGCGCAACCCUUGAUCUUAGUUGCCAGCAUUCAGUUGGGGCACUCCUAAGGUGACUGGCCGGUGACAAAACCGGAGGAAGGUGGGGGAUGACGUCAAAUCAUCAUGCCCCUUAUGACCUGGGCUA
rnacentral:rRNA from 1 species